AGCAAAACUGUUUGCGAUCAGCUGCUGCUCUGCAUGUCAAGAAGAUAAGUAGCUUUACAGGAGAGAUCAACUUCUACCUUGAUAGCUUCCUGAAGUGAGCGGGUAUGCAGCUGAAGUCCUAGUGCCUAGAUCAGAAUGCUUGGCAGUGACUAAGUACUCACUAAAAGUUUGUUGAGUGAUUGUGGAAACAAAUCUCAGAGUGCUUCCCUUCAGGAUGCAGCUUGGACGACCCCACCUGACGUGCCAGUCACUUAUGUUCCUACCUGAUCUCCUGAGGGUGCUGUGAGCUCACUACCGUGCCUGAUGGAUGUGUGGAGCGAGAGUGCAUAUGGAAGGAGGAUCAUGCAAGGUAGAUUAUACAUGGACUUCUAGAAAGGGA